rnacentral:lncRNA from 1 species
GCUUCUGCGCAUGCGCAUCGCAACUGACUACGGCGGCUCCGCGGGGUCAAGCAUCGGAAGGCGGCGGUAAGAUCCCGCGCGUGCCGGAAGGCAUCUUCCCCAUCCCACGCGCCUACAGCUGUGCUCUUCAGGGCCAUUCUGCACAGCCUAAGGUGUCCUGACAAGGAAGAAAGGCAGCAGUGCCCUCACCCAGCGAGGCUAUGCACUCAUACGUCUCCAGCAUCACAUCCCAGUACAGGGCUCGCCGCGCAGGGUCCAGCAGCGCCCACUCCUCCCUGCUGAAAUACACGGCCACGUCCCCAAAGGUCACGGGCUCCUGUAAACAAAAAGGCUCCUUGCUGCAACCACCUGGGGCCUGGGGACACAGCUUGUUGAGGAGGGAAACCCCAGCCCCAGCAGCUUCUCUCUCCAGCACACAAAUGCAUGGGCAAGGGCAUCUCACGCUCCCCUUGCGUUCACAUGCCUUGCACCUCUGUCUCACUGACUGCUUCCCCAAGCCCCUACCUGGGAUGGAUGUGCUGUGGCCAUUUGCUGCCCUCCUGCAGGUUGGGACGGUCGCAGGUGAAAGGCAGUCAGCCUGUGGGGACAAGAGGAACAGAGGGCAGCUGUGAGGGAAUGCAGCAGUCCCCAUCCUACCCAGCCCUCCCCAGCUGUGGCAGCAGUUCAGCACCACAGUGCCCUUUGGUCGCUGCCCCCACAGUGGGAUGAGGAAGAGAAUGAGAAGCAAAACAGAACUCAUGCGUUGAAAUAAUACCUAUUGACCAAAACAAGAAAGAAAACGGCAAAAAUACAAUUCAAUAAAACAAGCAUGUAUACAUAUAUAUACACAGUGCAGUUUCUCACCAUCCACUGACAGACCAAUGCCCAGCAAGCCUGAAGCAGCAUCUUCUCCCCCCAGCACCUCCCACAGCUCUUUUUUUUUUUUCUUUUUUUUCAUCAUACUAUUUUCUGCCCGUUCCUUUUUGGGAGAUGGAAUGAGUGAGCCAGGUGGUGCUGCUUAGCCCUCUGCUGCUGUCCAACCAUCACACUCAGACAUCCUCUGUCUCCUGGGACGCAAAUGCAAGGGGGAAUGCAGAGUGCUUUUGCACAGAAUGGAACUGGAGCCCACCCAGUGCCUGAACCAGUGCAGCAGCUGUGUGUGAAGGGACCUUCCAUUGCAGGGAGAUCCUGAACAAAAACCUUCUGAGGGAGCUGCACAAUGAAGAAUGCCCAGCCCUGUAGUUCAGGGGAUAGCAGAAGCCUCAGAACAAGUGAGCAAUCAAACCGACUGCUUACAGAACAACAGGAGGCAUUAAAAGUGCCACCAGAGGAAGAUCUUGUCUGUUGGAUCCCCUGAGGGUAUUUGGGGGCUGGUGGAGUGGGAAAUGGAAAAUACCGACUUGGAGGCUUUAGAUAAGAGUCAAAAAGGAGGUGGGGAUAUGUUACAAAUAACAUAGUGGAAUCCAUACGUGCAGAGGUGUGGAGCAUGGGCAUUUCACGUCUUGGCACGUAUACGUAAGUUCCUUCAAAAGUAAUGCUUCUUAAUUCCAGGGAAACUACAACAGAGACAAAG